UUCCCGUUGCACCGCUCGGAGAUUGAGCGCUCAGCCUGCCGCCGGGACCUCUUACGGCUGUUCCAGCGCGUUUACACAUUGCAAACAAAACGAGCGCUUAAGUGAGAAAUGUCUUGAGUUUUCAGCAGGGCCUAUCGCAAGGGUGCCAGGAAGCCAGUGGCCGGACCUCACAGUCACACAGUGGUACGCUGGGACCUACGUGGUUAUCACCAAAAUGAGGUUUCAAACCCACUGUCAUAUUGGGGAGAGGACGGAGAGGAAAGGGAAGCAAUAUUCAGAGGCCCGAUGCCAGGACCUGUGCUAGACCCUCGAAAGACAUUAGCUUAUUUCAUCCUCAGCAUGGACUGUAGCGUGGAGCUUAUAAUUCUCCUUUGACAAGGAAGGAAACAUGGACACAGCUACCUGAGCUGCAGAGCUGAGAUUUGAACUCUUGCUGGCCGCGCACAUCUAUUCUCCCAGCUCUGUGGGUUUGGCCAGAAGGACCUUGAAAUUUGUGGGCCUGGCCUCAAUCCCCAGCAUCCCGGUUGCCCGCCUUUGGAGAAUGGACAGCUCCUGGUCUUAGAAGGAUGAACUUGGUGUGCAGACUGGAGGGCUCAGUAGGCAAGAAAAUGCAUACAAUGGGACAAUGACAGAGCAAAGUUAAAAUGAACCUUGAAAUGAAGUUACUUCUCAAAAUGCAUGCAAUAAGAUUCUGUACAGAUGGGACAUACAUUUUGCUUUAGGCUUCAAAAGCCAUUGGAAAAAGGGAAACAGAAUCAGCUGUAGGUAUCUACAAGAGAUGAAGACACUUCUUCAGAAGUACACCUGUGAGACAGAAUGUUGUAGCUGACCUGGUUUUUCCCCCACAUGUUUAAUCUGAGAUACCAGGAGUCUGUUUCUUUCCAAGUUUACCAAGUGAAUGUUUGUCUGCAGAGUAAGUAAGUAAACACAUUGAACAAUCAUUAUUAAACAGUAUUCCUAAUGUAAUGAAAAUUGAAAGAAAUCCAAACUAGGCAUAUGCAUUUCAAGAAGUGAGUUGUGCCGAACGGAUCAAAUCGACAUCUGUUCAGGUGGAGGUGCAGCAGCCCUGGGAAUCAUCAGCCCCUGUCACUGGGGAUUCCUCAUCUGCUCAGCGCUGGAACUGGACGACACAGUUAGAAUUUAUUACGCUAUUUGUUUAUUUACGGUUUUCUAACAUUUUUUAAUGUGAACUUUUCAAACACACAGAAAAGUUGGAAAUAAUGUAUAGUGAACAAGCCAUCUACCCACCACAUAGAAUCUACAAUUAACAUUUUGUUAUACUGGGUUUAUCACAGAUCUAUCCAUCUAUCCAUGUUUGUCCAUCCUUCAAUCCAGCUUUUAAAAUACACAUUUCAAAAUAAGUUGCUGACAUCAGACACUUCUUCCUAAAUACUUCAGCAUACAUAGCAUUUAACUGGAUCUCAGUGUUGUUUACAGUUCUUGUUGGGGUUAAAUCUUUUAUAAUAUGAAUGUUUUUCGUUAAUAAAAUUUAUCCUGC